AGUCAUUGUUAUCUACGACAGCUAAAACUGACGAGGUGCGUGUGGGGUUCAUUAGUGACGAGGAGGAGCAUGACGCCAUUGUGGGAGCAUAGCACGAUAUCGGCAUCCAGAGGAUAUACUCCCUAUGGUCCUACCUCAGCGGUCUCUUCCUCAAGCAGGCAACUCGGAUUCUGGACAAGCCUGAUUUCGCACCGAGAGCCUAGGUGAAAAGGCUUGUUACUUUGUGUGAUAAAGCUGCGUCCAAGCCAAUUGAAGUUAUUAGAGAGGUUGUGGAGAGUCAGUUGUGCAAGAGCUUUGGUGAGUUAUUUGAUUUCUUUGAAGUUGAAUCUGUUGGGUCUGCUUCUAUUGCGCAGGUUCACAUUUAUUUACUUCUCUUGACUGUAAGGUCUUGUGAAUUGUAAUAUUGCUGCUCUAAAUGAUUCCCUUCAGUUUUAGGCCUAUUAUGCAUACACCUGUU